rnacentral:rRNA from 1 species
GCUAGUUGGUGGGGUAAUGGCCCACCAAGGCAUUGAUGGGUAGCUGGUCUGAGAGGAUGAUCAGCCACACUGGAACUGAAACACGGUCCAGACUCCUACGGGAGGCAGCAGUGGGGAAUCUUGCGCAAUGGACGAAAGUCUGACGCAGCCACGCCGCGUGAACGAUGAAGGCCUUAGGGUUGUAAAGUUCUUUUGCCCGUGACGAUGAUGACGGUAACGGGAGAAUAAGCUCCGGCUAACUUCGUGCCAGCAGCCGCGGUAAUACGAAGGGGGCUAGCGUUGUUCGGAAUUACUGGGCGUAAAGCGCGCGCAGGCGGUUCGUCAAGUUGGGGGUGAAAUCCCCGGGCUCAACCCGGGAAUGGCCUUCAAGACUGUCGAGCUAGAGGACGAGAGAGGUGAGUGGAAUUCCCAGUGUAGAGGUGAAAUUCGUAGAUAUUGGGAAGAACACCGGUGGCGAAGGCGGCUCACUGGCUCGUUUCUGACGCUGAGGCGCG